AUAACACGAAUCAUAGGCAGAUAAACGUGCAUAGAUUGAUAGAUA
rnacentral:misc_RNA from 1 species